CCCUAUGGGGCGCAGAUGGAAAUGUGGGAUGAUAUGAAGUAAGGAUUAGAUCAUUCCGCCACCAAAUUUGACGCUGGAAGGCUUUUCCGGCCAGGGUGAAGGGGUGAGCCUUGGUUGGUGGAGAGCAACGGCGAGAGAGGGGAUUUUGAUGAAAUUUGAAAAAGCAAUAGUACAAGAAAAUGUGGGUGGGCUUUUUUGGAAAGACCUUUUAGCUUUUAAAUCAAUAGAAACAGCUAAAGAGUUUGUUGCAGAUGAAAAGACCCCUGAAGAUUACCGGGUAAUAUGGCGCACG
rnacentral:rRNA from 1 species